rnacentral:rRNA from 1 species
CACACGACCGUACCGCAAACCGACACUGGUGCGCGAGAUGAGUAUUCUAAGGCGCUUGAGAGAACUCAGGAGAAGGAACUCGGCAAAUUGACACCGUAACUUCGGAAGAAGGUGUGCCUUUAGUAGGUGAACCAUUUACUUGGGGAGCCCAAUGAGGCUGCAAAAAAUCGGUGGCUGCAACUGUUUAUUAAAAACACAGCACUCUGCUAAGACGAAAGUCGACGUAUAGGGUGUGACGCCUGCCCGGUGCUGGAAGAUUAAAUGAUGGGGUGCAAGCUCUUGAUUGAAGUCCCAGUAAACGGCGGCCGUAACGAUAACGGUCCUAAGGUAGCGAAAUUCCUUGUCGGGUAAGUUCCGACCUGCACGAAUGGCGUAAUGAUGGCCACACUGUCUCCUCCUGAGACUCAGCGAAGUUGAAAUGUUUGUGAUGAUGCAAUCUCCCCGCGGAAAGACGGAAAGACCCCAUGAACCUUUACUGUAGCUUUGUAUUGGACUUUGAACAGAUCUGUGUAGGAUAGGUGGGAGGCUUUGAAGUGUGGUCGCUAGAUCGCAUGGAGCCAACGUUGAAAUACCACCCUGGUGUGUUUGAGGUUCUAACCUAGGUCCAUUAUCUGGAUCGGGGACAGUGCAUGGUAGGCAGUUUGACUGGGGCGGUCUCCUCCCAAAGUGUAACGGAGGAGUUCGAAGGUACGCUAGGUACGGUCGGACAUCGUGCUAAUAGUGCAAUGGCAUAAGCGUGCUUAACUGCGAGACUGACAAGUCGAGCAGAUGCGAAAGCAGGACAUAGUGAUCCGGUGGUUCUGUAUGGAAGGGCCAUCGCUCAACGGAUAAAAGGUACUCUGGGGAUAACAGGCUGAUACCGCCCAAGAGUUCAUAUCGACGGCGGUGUUUGGCACCUCGAUGUCGGCUCAUCUCAUCCUGGGGCUGUAGCCGGUCCCAAGGGUAUGGCUGUUCGCCAUUUAAAGAGGUACGUGAGCUGGGUUUAAAACGUCGUGAGACAGUUUGGUCCCUAUCUUCCGUGGGCGCUGCAGAUUUGAGGAAGCCUGCUCCUAGUACGAGAGGACCGGAGUGGACGAACCUCUGGUGUACCGGUUGUCACGCCAGUGGCAUUGCCGGGUAGCUAAGUUCGGAAGAGAUAACCGCUGAAAGCAUCUAAGCGGGAAACUCGUUUCAAGAUUAGAUCUGCCGGGGCCUUGAGCCCCCUAAAGAGUCGUUCAAGACCAGGACGUUGAUAGGUCAGGUGUGGAAGCGA